rnacentral:Y_RNA from 1 species
CACUGGUCCGAGUGCAGUGGUGUUUUACAACUAAUUGAUCACAACCAGUUACAAAUUCCUUUGUUCCUUCUACACUUCCACUGCUUCACUUGACCAGCCUAAA